AACCAAUUAUAGCUCAAAAAUCUUAAUCCUUAAAAAUAUUUCAUAAAUUAAAAUAAAACAUUUACAACAGCUAAAGUAUAGGUGAUAGAAAUUUUUAAAUGACGCUAUAGAGAAAGUACCGCAAGGGAAAUUUGAUAGAACAAUUUAAGUGCUAAACAGCAAAGCUUAAAACUUGUACCUUUUGCAUAAUGAUUCAACUAGAAAAAUAUUAGCAAAAAGAAUUAAAGUUAAAUACCCCGAAACCAGACGAGCUACCUACCAACAGCUUAUUAGAGUGAACUCAUCUAUGUGGCAAAAUAGUGAGACGAUUGAUAGGUAGUGGCGACAAACCUACCGAGCCUGGUGAUAGCUGGUUGUCCAGAACAGAAUUUUAGUUCCAAUUUAAAUUUACUAAUAUAAAUAUACAAAUUAUAGCGUAAGUUUAAAUAAUAAUCUAAAAGGGUACAGCCUUUUAGAUGAGGGACACAACCCCCACUAGAGAGUAAAAAUUUUAUAACCACAAUAGUUGGCCUAAAAGCAGCCACCAACUGAGAAAGCGUUCAAGCCCAACAGUAAAAAAAAAACUUAAUUCCACAAUAAAAAUUUAACUCCCAGCACAAAACUGGACUAUUCUAUUUAUAAAUAGAAGCAAUACUGUUGAUAUAAGUAACAAGAAAUUACUUCUCCUUGCACAAGUGUAUAUCAGAACGAAUAAGUCACUGAUAGUUAUCAAAACUAGUAUAAUUAACUACUUAACUCCUUGAUAUUCAUUGUUUAACCAACACUGGGGUGCAGCUAAAGGAAAGAUUACAAGAAAUAAAAGGAACUCGGCAAACACAAACCUCGCCUGUUUACCAAAAACAUCACCUCUAGCAUAAAAAGUAUUAGAGGCACUGCCUGCCCGGUGACUUUAGUUUAACGGCCGCGGUAUCCUGACCGUGCAAAGGUAGCAUAAUCACUUGUUCUCUAAAUAAGGACUUGUAUGAAUGGCUUCACGAGGGUUUUGCUGUCUCUUAUUUCUAAUCAGUGAAAUUGACAUCCCCGUGAAGAGGCGGGGAUAAAAUAAUAAGACGAGAAGACCCUAUGGAGCUUUAAUUAAUUAACUCAUAUUUCCCAUUAUUAUUUCUACGAGAGACAACUUAAAUAUAACUGAGUUAACAAUUUAGGUUGGGGUGACCUCGGAGUAAAACCUAGCCCCCGAGAAAAAUCUAUUAAGACUUACAAGUCAAAAUUAUUACAUUAUACACUGAUCCGCCAUAGGCGAUCAACGAAACAAGUUACCCUAGGGAUAACAGCGCAAUCCUAUUUAAGAGUCCAUAUCGACAAUUAGGGUUUACGACCUCGAUGUUGGAUCAGGACAUCCUAAUGGUGCAGCAGCUAUUAAUGUGUUCGUUUGUUCAACGAUUAAAGUCCUACGUGAUCUGAGUUCAGACCGGAGUAAUCCAGGUCGGUUUCUAUCUAUUUCCAAGUCCCCCCUAGUACGAAAGGACCAGGAGGACAAGGCCUACUUACAAUAAGCGCCCUAACAAAACAGAUGAGUUAAUCUUAAUCUUAUUAUACCUAUUAAUUUAUCCAAGAUAAGGAAACAA
rnacentral:rRNA from 1 species